AUUGAACGCUGGCGGCAUGCCUUACACAUGCAAGUCGAACGGUAACAGGUCUUCGGACGCUGACGAGUGGCGCACGGGUGAGUAAUGCAUCGGAACGUGCCCAGUCGUGGGGGAUAACUGCUCGAAAGAGCAGCUAAUACCGCAUACGACCUGAGGGUGAAAGCGGGGGACCGUAAGGCCUCGCGCGAUUGGAGCGGCCGAUGUCAGAUUAGCUAGUUGGUGGGGUAAAGGCCUACCAAGGCAACGAUCUGUAGUUGGUCUGAGAGGACGACCAGCCACACUGGGACUGAGACACGGCCCAGACUCCUACGGGAGGCAGCAGUGGGGAAUUUUGGACAAUGGGCGCAAGCCUGAUCCAGCAAUGCCGCGUGCAGGAAGAAGGCCUUCGGGUUGUAAACUGCUUUUGUCAGGGAAGAAAUCUUCUGGGCUAAUACCCCGGGAGGAUGACGGUACCUGAAGAAUAAGCACCGGCUAACUACGUG
rnacentral:rRNA from 1 species